rnacentral:rRNA from 1 species
UGUGUAGGCGGAGCUGUAAGUCAGAGGUGAAAUCCUGCGGCUUAACCGUAGAACUGCCUUUGAUACUGCAGCCCUUGAAUAUCGGAGAGGUCACUAGAAUUCGUGGUGUAGCGGUGAAAUGCGUAAAUAUCACGAGGAAUACCAGAGGCGUAGGCGGGUGACUGGACGAUUAUUGACGCUGAGGCACGAAAGCGUGGGGAGCAAACA